UGGGGAAUAUUGGACAAUGGGCGAAAGCCUGAUCCAGCCAAGCCGCGUGUGUGAAGAAGGUCUUCGGAUUGUAAAGCACUUUAAGUUGGGAGGAAGGGCAGUAAGCGAAUACCUUGCUGUUUUGACGUUACCGACAGAAUAAGCACCGGCUAACUCUGUGCCAGCAGCCGCGGUAAUACAGAGGGUGCAAGCGUUAAUCGGAAUUACUGGGCGUAAAGCGCGCGUAGGUGGUUCGUUAAGUUGAAUGUGAAAGCCCCGGGCUCAACCUGGGAACUGCAUCCAAAACUGGCGAGCUGGAGUAGGGCAGAGGGUGGUGGAAUUUCCUGUGUAGCGGUGAAAUGCGUAGAUAUAGGAAGGAACACCAGUGGCGAAGGCGACCACCUGGGCUCAUACUGACACUGAGGUGCGAAAGCGUGGGGAGCAAACAGG
rnacentral:rRNA from 1 species